AGCAUCCCUCGGGCGAUGGUGACGUUUGGUUUUCGCAACUAGCUCCCGCCCGUUGUGUCUGUGUGUGACCUGUCAAAAACCGAAAAAGUUCACAUGUGGUUUGUUCUAUAGAGUAUCCAGAAGCUGCCAUAGGAAAUAUUUCGGAAUAACUUGAAUACUUACCGUAUACUUACCGUGAGUAACCUGGAAAAAGAAGUUAAAUUAUAAUCUAUAAAUACUUACCUUAAAAUUGAUAAUACUUACCUAGGAAAGCAGAAGUAGAAAGGAGAAAAGGAAGAUAGUUGGAAAGCUGGUCGGAAGAGUAGUUAGCGAGGGAGGAAAAUUUGAAAGUAAGAGAGUAAAAUUAUAUGCGAAAGAUCAAAUUUAAUAAAAAUUUAUAUAGUUUUAGCCUGCAUAAAAAAGGUGCUUGCUCAUUAUUUCUUUCCGUUCGGGGACGACCGAACAAACUAAAAUUUCAAAGUUUGGAUCGCACCUCACCCACGGCACGAUGAGCGACCAGGAAUUAGACUACACUACCACACCGUGCGGCAAGUGCGGAUUAGCUCCAAAGGAACUAGGUGGAAUGGUUGCAUGCGACCACUGCAACAAUUGGUAUGAUUACGCUUGCGCGGGUGUAACCGAUACCGUUAAGAGGAAGAAAAAAUGGUUCUGCGAUAAUGCAGUUUGUGUGGCGGCAGCCAAAAAGCGCACGAAGAAGGACGCAAAUCCUCAAUCGACGGCAGAUGAAUCGGAUGCCGGAAGUGUCAAAUCGUCCACAGUGCCGUCCGCAGAUGAACAAAUAAAGGCCAUGGAAGAAGAACAGCGGCGGCUCGAGGCGGACUGGGACAAACAGAUGCUGGUGAAAGAGAAGCAGCUAGAGUUUCAGGCCGCAAUGAAAAAGAAGAAGUUCCUGCAGGAACAAGCACUGCGCCGAAAGCAAAUGCAGCUAGAGGAAGAGUGGCGCUGUUUCGAGCUAGCAGAACUAGAGCGCGAAAACCAGCUGCAGCUGCAGGUAAAACACGAGCACCUGAAGCGAGUUCAGAAACUGGAAAAAGAUUUUCGGGAGCAGAUGUCAACUGUGGAUAAUCAGUUGGACACAAUGAAAAUGGAACGGCCACAGAAACAUUCCCAACCGAUUACCGUUAAGAGUCAAAGUACACCGCUACUAGCUCCGGCGGGAAAGACGGGUAUUUGUGUUGAGUCGGAAAUGGAUGAUACGGAGGAGAGUUCCAGUUCGGAGGAAGAAACUGAUAAGGAACCGGACGAGAAGGUUAAGCAGGGUUCCAGACCAACAAAGGGCCAACUUGCUGCCAGGCACGGGAUCGGUAAACACCUUCCUCUAUUUUCGGGAAAGCCGGAUGAUUGGCCACUGUUUUAUGCGGCGUAUAACUCUUCUACAAAGGCGUGCGGGUUUAGCGAUGUCGACAAUUUAGCACGUCUGCAACAAUGCCUAAGGGGCGACGCACUGGAGCUUGUACGAGGACAACUGCUUCUUCCGAAAUCGGUCCCUCGUGUUAUUGAGAAGCUUCGCCAACACUUUGGUCGUCCCGAGCAAUUACUAGAUCGUCUGUUGGAACGCGUUAAAGAAUUGCCGGCACCGAAGAAUCUGAAAGGGUUCAUUCCGUUCGCCAACGUAGUAGAGCAGCUUUGCGAUCACGUGGAAGCAGCGGACCUUAAGGAGCAUCUGAAGAACCCGUUGCUUAUACAGGGCCUGAUAAAAAAGCUUCCGGAUGCGGAGAAAAGACAGUGGGCUGAUAUCAAACGAGCUCGAGAGGGAAGAAAGAUUUCUCUUCGUACAGUUACGGACUUUCUCCUACGAAUUGCGGAUGACGCGCGGGAAGCAGAAGUGGACAUCGAGCGUACCACGGAGACGAGAUUCUCAGGCGAACAUUCCGGUCGAAAGCGAAAAGAGAAAGGAGCAGUAUUCAGUCACGCCGAGGAAGGAAAUUCGAAUACAGUCGUCAGCCACCGAUUAGGGUUGAAACCAUGCAAAGUGUGCCAGCGUACCGACCACCGAUUGCGGUUUUGUCACGAUUUCAAGAACUGGUCACACGCCGAGCGCGUAGCAAUGGUGACCCGCGAUAAGCUAUGCAAGCUAUGCCUCGGAGAACACGGAGGACAAUGCCGGUUCAAGUUUCGUUGCAACGUUGGCUCCUGUAAGGAGGCACACAAUCCGCUCAUUCACCCGGUCAGUACGGUGGGUAUUAGUGCACACAUUCACUCGUGCAACCCCCUGCUGUUUCGGAUAAUUCCCAUACAACUACAUGGUAGGGAUCGGACGCUGACGGUUUUGGCAUUUUUGGACGAAGGUGCUUCCGUCACAUUGAUCGAAGGUAAGCUAGCCGAUAGAUUGGGUAUUGUCGGGGCCGAAGAAAAGCUUACAAUCAAAUGGACUGCCGACUAUUCACGUACUGAGAAGAACUCAAGAAAAAUGAAUGUGUGGGCUUCAGCAGUUGGUGUUGGAGAAAAAAUGUUGCUCAGAACGGUUCGCACUGUGGGCAAGUUAAUGCUGCCUCAUCAGAAAUUGGAUGCUGCAGUACUUUCAGCCCGCUAUCAAUACAUGAGCGAUCUGCCGAUCGCAUCGUAUGAAGGCCAGCCAGAGCUUCUUAUCGGUCUCAACAAUGUUCAUGCUUUCGCGCCCAUGGAAGUGAAGAUAGGUACCGUCGCUGACCCGAUUGCCGUCCGUUGCAAACUCGGAUGGACAGUAUAUGGUCCGAAUCAAGCGAGCCAUACUACAGAGAGAGGGUACGUAUGCUUGCAUCAUGAUGUAACCAACGAAGACAUACAUGGUUUACUGAAAAGCCACUAUGCAUUAGAGGAAUCUGUAGUAGCAACGGCCCAAGAAUCGGCAGAGGACAAAAAAGCGAUGGAGAUUAUGGAGCGGACCACGAAACGCAUCGGAGAACGGUUCCAGACCGGUUUGCUCUGGAAGGAGAACAAUCAGCGAUUUCCGGAGAGUAUUCAGAUGGCGCUGAGGAGAAAUUUGCAGCUGGAGCGGAAAUUAAUGAAAAAUCCGGAAUUAUACACGAAAGUGCGAAUGCAAACCGAUGAAGAUGCCAGAAGAGUUGUUCUGUUUCACGAAUUCAUAAAGAUGGAGGCGAUUUCGAGAUGGAACAGGCUGCUGAGAGUGACCGCCACAGUGUUGCGUUUUAUCGGAAAUUGCAAGCGCAAACAGAAAGGGUUGCCGAUACUCACAGCAAAGGCAACGAUGAAUCAACAAUUAAUGCUGAAGACUGCACACCCCGCAGUACAAACACCGUUGCAGAAAAACGAAUUACUGGAGGCGGAGAAAGUUUUGUGGAAACAAGCACAAUGGAACAGUUUCCCCGAUGAGAUGAGCGUGCUGACGAGCAACCUACAAUUAGCCCUUGGCCAGAAAGCAGAACGAAUCCCGAAAAGAAGUGGCCUAUACAAAUAUGCGCCGACGCUCGACGAAGAUGGCGUGCUACGAGUAGAUGGUCGACUGGUGAAUGCGGAAGCAAUGUCCUUCAAUCAGAGGUAUCCUGUUAUCUUGAGCCGUUUUCAUACCGUAACGAAGAAAAUCAUCCAGUAUUAUCACGAGCAGUUUGGACAUGCGAAUAGAGAGACAGUGUUCAACGAGAUACGGAAGAAGUUUGAAAUCCCGAACCUUCGUGCAGCAGUCUCUAGAGUAGCCGGUGAAUGCGUAUGGUGCAAAGUGCAUCGGUGCGUUCCACAUACUCCGCGCAUGGCACCACUGCCGGUUCAGCGUGUUACGCCUGGAAAACGCCCCUUCAACUCUGUCGGCGUGGAUUACUUGGGCCCUGUGGAGGUGACAGUUGGACGCCGAAAGGAAAAAAGGUGGGUCGCCGUUUUCACUUGCUUAGCGGUGCGCGCAGUGCACCUAGAAGUGGUGCAUUCACUUUCAACGCAGUCGUGUCUCAUGGCACUAAGCAGAUUUGCCAGUAGGUAUGGGAAGCCAGAAGAGAUAUUCUCCGACAAUGCGACUUGUUUUCGAGGAGCGUGGAACGAAAUGGUAAAGGCCAAACUACAAAUCAACAGAAAGUGCGCCGAGGAAUUCAUCAGUUCAACUACUGCCUGGUAUUUCAAUCCCCCCGGCACCCCGCACAUGGGCGGUGUUUGGGAACGGAUGGUGCGGUCUGUAAAGGAAUCGAUGAAAGCGCUGGAUGACGGAAGGAAACUCACUGAUGAAAUCCUGAAAACAACAGUAGCAGAAGCAGCUGAUAUGAUUAACACGCGUCCACUCACGUACAAGCCUCAGGAACCCGCAGGCGAGGAAGCACUAACGCCAAACCAUUUCCUGCGAGGUGCAGUGACCAGUGCGGAUCUCCAGGUGGAGCCAGUGAGUGCAGCGGAGGCUCUACGAAACGUUUACAAACGUGCCCAGUACCUAAGCGACCGUAUGUGGGAGCGGUGGAUCACCGAGUAUCUACCUACGAUCAACAAACGCAGCAAAUGGUUUGACGAUAAGCGACAGUUGAAUGUUGGGGAUUUAGUUUUUCUGGUGGAUGGGAAAAUUCGGAAGAAUUGGAGGCGUGGGAAGAUAGUAGAAGUGUUUCCGGGAACAGACGGGACCAUUAGACAAGUCAGCGUGAGGACAACAGACGGGAAGCUACAUCGCCGGGGAGCGGUUAACAUUGCGGUAAUGGAGAUAGGUGAAGGUAAAUCCGGAACAAGAAGCAACGCCGGAUGUUACGGGCCGGGGUCUGUUACCACGACUGAACCUGCAAGCGGAGCAUCCCUCGGGCGAUGGUGACGUUUGGUUUUCGCAACUAGCUCCCGCCCGUUGUGUCUGUGUGUGACCUGUCAAAAACCGAAAAAGUUCACAUGUGGUUUGUUCUAUAGAGUAUCCAGAAGCUGCCAUAGGAAAUAUUUCGGAAUAACUUGAAUACUUACCGUAUACUUACCGUGAGUAACCUGGAAAAAGAAGUUAAAUUAUAAUCUAUAAAUACUUACCUUAAAAUUGAUAAUACUUACCUAGGAAAGCAGAAGUAGAAAGGAGAAAAGGAAGAUAGUUGGAAAGCUGGUCGGAAGAGUAGUUAGCGAGGGAGGAAAAUUUGAAAUUUUAGCCUGCAUAAAAAAGGUGCUUGCUCAUUAUUUCUUUCCGUUCGGGGACGACCGAACAAC